rnacentral:sRNA from 1 species
GAAACCUUCGGUCCGCGAUGAGAGGACCAAGAGAUCGAUGCUUUGAUAGAAUGCAGGCAUGUCGCUGAUCUCCCCCCGGAGAUCGACGGAGUGGGCCGGAAGACCGGCUUGUGUCAUCAGCUCGAUGACCGCCGGGUUGUCGCGGACGAGCCCGUUUCCGGC